CACAUGAUAGCUCAGUUGGAAGAGCGGAGGACUGUAGAUCCUUAGGUCGCUGGUUCGAAUCCGGCUCGCGGGA
rnacentral:tRNA from 1 species